GAUGAACGCUGGCGGCGUGCCUAAUACAUGCAAGUCGAGCGAACAGACGAGGAGCUUGCUCCUCGCACGUUAGCCGCGGGGGGGAGAAUAACACGUGGAUAACCUCCCUAUAAGACUGGGAUAAUUUCGGGAAACCGGCGCUUAUACCGGAUAAUAUCUUGAUGCGCGGGGUUGAAUAGUGAAAGACGGCUUUGCUGGCAGUUAUAGAUGGAUAUGCGCCGUAUUAGCUAGUUGGGAAGGUAACGGGUUACCAAGGCAACGAUGCGUAGCCGACCGGCGAGGGGGAUCGGCCACCUGGGAACGGAGACGGGGUCCAGACGCCUACGGGAGGCAGCAGUAGGGAAUCGGCCGCAAUGGGCGGAAGCCUGACGGAGCAACGCGGCGUGAGUGAUGAAGAUCUUCGGAUCGUAAAACUGUGUUACUAGGGAAAAACAAAUGUGUAAGUAACUAUGCACGUAUUGACGGUACCUAAUCAGAAAGCAACGGCUAACUACGUG
rnacentral:rRNA from 1 species